UCGCACUUUCUUAAGGCCGAGAUACGAACGGGAUGGCUUUGCCAAUAAACUAACCGUAAUCAUACUGCCGAGAAAAACUUCGUACAGAAGAGUUUUAUCAGUUCGUACCGUAAACCGACACAGGUAGAUGGGAUGAGUAUUCUAAGGUGCUCGAGUGAGCCGUGGUUAAGGAACUCGGCAAAUUAACCCCGUAACUUCGGGAAAAGGGGUGCCCCAAGUAAGUGAAAUUAAUUCUAAUUUAGCUGAAAGGGGCCGCAGUGAAAUGGCCCAAGCGACUGUUUAACAAAAACAUAUGUCUCUGCGAAGUCAAUCAAGACGAUGUAUAGGGACUGACACCUGCCCGGUGCUGGAAGGUUAAGAGGAGUGGUCAGCGCAAGCGAAGCUAUGAAUCGAAGCCCCAGUAAACGGCGGCCGUAACCAUAACGGUCCUAAGGUAGCGAAAUUCCUUGUCGGGUAAGUUCCGACCUGCACGAAUGGUGUAACGAUUUGGGCACUGUCUCAACCACGGGCUCGGUGAAAUUGUGGUACCGGUGAAGACGCCGGUUACCCGCAUAUGGACGGAAAGACCCCGUGCACCUUUACUGCACCCUAAUAUUGGGUUCGGGUAAAGCAUGUGUAGGAUAGGUGGGAGGCUUUGAAGCCGGGGCGCUAGCUUCGGUGGAGCCAACGGUGAAAUACCACCCUUGUUUUAUUUGGAUUCUAACCUCGGUCCUUGAAUCAGGAUCAGGAACAGUGUUAGGCGGGUAGUUUGACUGGGGCGGUCGCCUCCUAAAAUGUAACGGAGGCUCUCAAUGGUUCCCUCAGCAUGGUUGGUAAUCAUGCGGCGAGUGUAAAGACAAAAGGGAGCUUGACUGCGAGACUUACAAGUCGAGCAGGUGCGAAAGCAGGACUUAGUGAUCCGACGGCUGCGAGUGGAAGUGCCGUCGCUCAAAGGAUAAAAGGUACGCCGGGAUAACAGGCUGAUCUUACCCAAGAGUUCAUAUCGACGGUAAGGUUUGGCACCUCGAUGUCGGCUCAUCGCAUCCUGGGGCUGAAGAAGGUCCCAAGGGUUUGGCUGUUCGCCAAUUAAAGCGGUACGUGAGCUGGGUUCAGAACGUCGUGAGACAGUUCGGUCCCUAUCCUAUGCGGGCGCAGGAUACUUGAGAAGGGCCGCUUCUAGUACGAGAGGACCGAAGUGAACGUAUCUCUAGUGCACCAAUUGUCACGCCAGUGGCAUAGUUGGGUAGCUAUAUACGGUUGUGAUAAGCGCUGAAAGCAUCUAAGCGCGAAGCACGCUUCAAGAUAAGGUAUCCCUUACGUAAGUAACUAAAGACUCCUCGGAGAUUACGAGGUUGAUAGGCUAUAGGUGUAAGUACAGUAAUGUAUUCAGCCAAGUAGUACUAAUAGGUCGUGAGGCUUAUCCGC
rnacentral:rRNA from 1 species